rnacentral:ncRNA from 1 species
UCCGAUAAACGAACGAGACUCUGGCAUGCUAACUAGUUACGCGACCCCCGAGCGUCGGCGUCCAACUUCUUAGAGGACAAGUGGCGUUCAGCCACCCGAGAUUGAGCAAUAACAGGUCUGUUGAUGCCCUUAGAUGUCCGGGGCUGCACGCGCGCUACACUGGACUGGCUCAGCUUGUGUCUACCCUACGCCGGCAGGCGCGGGUAACCGUUGAACCCCAUUCGUGAUGGGGAUCGGGGAUUGCAAUUAUUCCCCAUGAACGAGGAAUCCCAGUAAGUGCGGGUCAUAAGCUCGCGUUGAUUAAGUCCCUGCCCUUGUACACACCGCCGUCGCUACUACGAUUGAUGGUUUAGUGAGGUCCUCGAUCGGCCCCGGCGGGGUCGGCCACGGCCCUGCCGAGCGUCGAGAAGACGGUCGAACUUGACUAUCUAGAGGAAGUAAAAGUCGUAACUAACAAGUUUCCGUAGGUGAACCUGCGGAAGGAUCAUUA